ACAAAACUGUAGUAUGGGUGUUGCUGGUGGCAUCUUUUGGGUGAUAGGUGAUUGUGACUCUCUACCAUCUUCGACUCUGCCAAUGGCUUCAACAGUCUUCACCUCCCCGUCACACUCUUCUUCUUCUUCUGUUCUGUUCCCGCCUCCCGUUCACUAAAAUCAAAAGCCCUCUUUCAACUCCUUUUCCCCCACAUAGAAGACGCUUCAAUGUCAUUUCCAUGGCUCCCCCAAGUCCGGUGGUAAAGCCAAGAAAGAGAGAUCCAAAAUCCUGCGAGUCACGCACUCUAUAAUCCUCGACUCUUCUGCUGCCUCCAUAGCUUCCCUCAAUCCAAUGUGCUCGAAGCCUACACCCGCCUAGGAAAAGUCGCGAAUGCGUUGAUAUAGGAGUUUUGAAAUUGGGAAUCUGCCUGCGCUAUGGAUGCUUUGUAUGGCAUUGUUUAUGAUAUUAGGCUUCUUGCUGAGAAGAAGCUUGAAGUAAGGAAAACAGAAGCAAGAAGAAGUGAGAAGCAAAAAAGGAAAAAGCAGGCUGUUGUUGAGUGGAAAGAGAAAUAGCUCACAGUUCUUCUUCAACCUGCUCCAUUGAGACGAGCUCUCUGAAGCCUUCUGAAUUCCUCUGCUGCUUGAGAAGCUUGAGACAGAAUUUCGUCAGUGCAUAUUCUCCUUUUCUCAAAAAUAAAGCCAUUCUUAGCUAGCCAUGAUUGCCCCAGUAGGUAUUAUGCUCGCUAAAUCGGAGCUAUUCCAUGCGUUCAUCACUGCGAAGCAGAAUACUGUAGUGCGGAGGGGUUUCUGGAGGGCUGACAGAUCGGACAAGUCUUGUCGAUGUGAGGGUCUUGUCUUGAAGGCAUUCAUGGAGGUUAUCCACAGGGGAACGAAAAAAUUGGAAUUUGCUGGAUUUGCUGAGCUAUUUCAGUACUAAAGUUGCGGCUGAGCAGUUGGGGGUUCCAGUCUCCAUUCUCUGUAAUGAGUUGUCGCACCCAGAAAGAUUCAUGCAGAAAUUGCUGGAUAUUCUAUGUAUGCUACCCAAAACAAAUGCUUGGUGAUUAUAGAAGGCACAUAAUGAUCUAUCAAAUCCAGUAUGGUUUUUAUGAUUGUUGUUACUGAUGGGAGCAGAUUUCUGGGACUUGGAGGUCUUGGAGUUCAUGGAACUGGCAUUGCCAUUAGGAAGCUCGAUAUGUAUGUUGUAGCUGUUACGAUAAAUCCCCAUAUGAUAUAAUGUUGCAUAUCACAAGUAAGAUUGCAAUGUGAUCACAUGAGUUUUUGUUUGUGGGACAGUGUUGGUGAGUUAUUUCACUAUUUAUCAAUUUUUUUUUUGGAGGGAUGUUCUUGGUUUUUCUCGGUUUUUUUAAAUAGGCUAAUAAUAUUACAAUAGAUCAAUACCUUUAAGCUACCGUGUAAAUAAUGGAAAUUAAAUAUGAUUAUUAUGUUUAAUUAUGAGUUUUAAUAUUAUAGUAUGUAUAAGUAACCACUGAGAAGAUAGUUGGUGCAUCGGAGAUUUAAUGAUAUUUCUUAACAAAUUUUUUUUAAUUAUUGUGGAACUGUUCUUUCUCUUAUUUUUUGGAAUAAACUAUGUAUAUAAUUAGUAUUGGUUGAGUUCUUUGUUCUUGAUUUAUUCAUUCUUUACUGAAAGGUUUU